AAGAGUUUAGUUAAAAAAAAUAACAUUAGAUUGUCAAACUAAAAUUAUUAUUAAUAAUAACUCUUU
rnacentral:tRNA from 1 species